GAUGAACGCUGGCGGCGUGCUUAACACAUGCAAGUCGAACGGAGAUAUCAUUUUCGAAGCGAUUAGUUUACUAAGAGCGGAGAUGUUGCUAUCUUAGUGGCGGACGGGUGAGUAACGCGUGGGUAACCUGCCUUGCACUGGGGGAUAACACUUAGAAAUAGGUGCUAAUACCGCAUAACAGGAGAAGAUGCAUGUCUUUUCCUUGAAAACUCCGGUGGUGUAAGAUGGACCCGCGUCUGAUUAGCUUGUUGGCGGGGUAACGGCCCACCAAGGCAACGACCAGUAGCCGGCCUGAGAGGGUGAACGGCCACAUUGGGACUGAGACACGGCCCAAACUCCUACGGGAGGCAGCAGUGGGGAAUAUUGGACAAUGGGGGGAACCCUGAUCCAGCGACGCCGCGUGAGUGAAGAAGUAUUUCGGUAUGUAAAGCUCUAUCAGCAGGGAAGAAAGAAAUGACG
rnacentral:rRNA from 1 species